UUUUUUUUUUGCCUGAGCCUCUUUGUGGCAAUUACAAUAUCUUUUAUCAUUAAUAAGACAUGUCUAAUAUAGUGGAUUAGAUGGCAAUUAAUAAAAGAUUCGGAAAUGUAAAUAAUUCUGGAGAAACUCAUUCAUUAUUAGUCUGUGUCUCCACAGCUUUAGGCAAGUCAAAAUCAUUUGAAGAACAUUGCAGACAUGCCUCCUUAAUCCAGAAAACAUAAACCUUAAAAACGGUCUUAAUCCUACAGUUAUGAAGCUAAU